UGCCAGACUCCUACGGGAGGCAGCAGUGGGGAAUAUUGGGCAAUGGGCGCAAGCCUGACCCAGCAACGCCGCGUGAAGGAAGAAGGCUUUCGGGUUGUAAACUUCUUUUGACAGGGAAGAGUAGAAGACGGUACCUGUCGAAUAAGCCACGGCUAACUACGUGCCAGCAGCCGCGGUAAUACGUAGGUGGCAAGCGUUGUCCGGAUUUACUGGGUGUAAAGGGCGUGCAGCCGGAGAGACAAGUCAGAUGUGAAAUCCACGGGCUCAACCCGUGAACUGCAUUUGAAACUGUUUCCCUUGAGUGUCGGAGAGGUAAUCGGAAUUCCUUGUGUAGCGGUGAAAUGCGUAGAUAUAAGGAAGAACACCAGUGGCGAAGGCGGCCGCCUGGCCUGUUGCUGACGCUGAGGCACGAAAGCGUGGGGAGCAAAUAGGAUUAGAUACCCCGGUACC
rnacentral:rRNA from 1 species